rnacentral:lncRNA from 1 species
GCUUUACUGGCCUUUAUGAAAGAACAGAUAUGUGAGGAAAGAAUUUGCAUGGCAGACAAAGGGAGGCAGCUGUCCCAGUCAGCAGUGAAGGGCAGCAAGGAGGGCAUUUAACUUACAUUACUCCGGUGACUAAAAUACAGCCUCUGUGCUGGUGUUUCUCUGAGGCCCAAGGUGCACUUACCCAGAGUGUCUCAUUUGCAGAAACGAUGAAAUACUUUUCUGCAAUUGGUUUAUGAACUUGACCUAUGUUAAAGUAGAAAAGCUUAUCCAGUUCGUUGUCUGUGGGUGUUUAAAAGGAAACUUUUAAUUUAAAAUAUUAGUUUUUCUUUCAGUGUUUAUUUUUCUCACUAUACAUAUAAUCCUCAUAUUGUAUUCUCCUUAUUAUAUUGCAUGAAUAUCCUAAGCUAAUCUGUAUUGCCAGGCUUCCUGCUACUCAUUGUAUUCCAUUUCAAAAAUUAUUGGUAGUCUUUUUGUCUGUUUGUGCAGGAAGCUAUUCUUGUCCCGACACAAAUCUGGAUAUCAGCAAUAGCUAUAGACAAUAAUCGUUCGUGAGAUCGAAGAAUGAAGCUUGGGAAGCUCUGAUGGACAUAGGUGUAGCCACGGUACUGACAAUAGCAGCUCACUAAGCAAAUGAAAUUGUUGUAAUGUGUGGUGGGUGGUUAACCUGUGAAAUUUGGGAAUCCAGAAUUGAGUGUGGCACACAUUUAUGUCAAGAAAAUGAAAGUAAAAAUCAUAGAAAAAAGGCAUCCAGAUGUUAUAUCAAAAGACUAAAAUCUUCCAGAGAGUAGAUACCUGUCAGCAGUUUGUUUUGCCUUCUUGGUCUUCCUUACAUUGGGUUGUGUGCCUACAGAUAUUCUCUUUGUUGUUGUUGUUGUUGUUUUUUACUGUUGCUGUUGUUAAAACUUCUCACAUAGAGCCAGUGAAAAUACCAUGAUUGUGAAAGUUAUUAUUAAGAAUGUACUGAUGAGGCUGUGACCUCUUUUAUAUUAUGUAGGACUCUCAUUCAAGGGAAUUAAAAUAAAAAGUGCAUAAAACUAAAAGUGAAGAAGAAUAUUACUAAGUAAGAAGUUGUGAAAUCACAGCAAAAUUGCUGAAUCAGUAUCAAAAUGAAAUUUAGAGCACGGUGAACAGUAAGCAGAACACCAAGUGGGAAGGUAGCCCAGCUCUCCCACACUGAGUUUCAUAAUCCAGCUAAGCAGUACUUUCCAAUGUUAAAAUAAAGCAUGGAGUUAAAAAUAACUCAAUUUAAGCAGUUUAAGCUAAAAGUGCUCUGGUAUGUGUUCCAUUGAUUUCUGUGUACUAUUCCAUGUGUCACAUGGCCACUAACUGGUUAAUCACUGCAGUAUGCAUGCUAGGAGUUGAGACUUGAGUAGAGAGAUGUGUUGGCUGAAGCCGGGUACUACAGUGAUGGGGAGCUGCCCACCUGCCCCACGCUGCCUCUGGUCCUCAGAGGUGCUGCUGCCAGAGCCUGGACACUGCCAGACAGUGUCAUCGCCAGGGAAAACAAGCUAGUUCCCAACUUGUUUAUCUCCAGUCAUAACAGAAAUAAAAUCUAGUCUGUAGAACGAAGGAGCAUCUCUGUGGUUUUGUAAGACAAACGUGAGGAGGCUUCAAGCUGCAAGUCUUUUAAGACUUUUUUUCAUAUGUGCAGGCUCUUUGGUAUUAUUUAUGAGUUGUUUCUAAAUUUGCGCAUCUUCCAAUAAAAUGAAAUACUGUGGUAUCAAAGCCUAUAAUCACUACCAAAUAUCAAGUAUCGAAAGUCUUAAGUUCCCUCAGUGGGGCUACAUGUAAGUGAUGGUGGGCAAGAAUCAAUUCACUGGUUAUCUUUAUCAUGGGUCUACAGUUCCUCAUGAUUUGCAUGGCACACUUGAGAUCACACCAUGACAAAUGAGUGUGAGGGCAGGAAGCAGCGACUGCAUCAGCUCUACCUAGAGUCUUUGACCAGCCUAAUGGUUGUUUAGAAAGCUUCAGUGCAUCAUCUGGUUAAGUAUCUGCAAAAUUUACAGAACUAGACCUACUUAAGUUAGACAGUCUUCCUAAUCGCAGGGUCACAGAAUGGCUGAAAUUGGCAAGGACCUCUGGGCCCAUCCAGUCCAAACCCUGUUAAAGCAGAGAUACCCAGAGUGCCCAGGACCAUGUCCAGAACAUAGGAUCACUGAACUUAAACUGGAGUCCAUUUGACACUAUGGCAAGAAGUGGCAGCCAAUACAAAUCUGAUGGAGUUUCAACUGCAGAAGGCUUAAUCCAAAUCAGAACAAGAACAUAUGUUAAAGAUAUAUUUUCCUUCUAGUUCAAUCGGAGCGAUUUGACUCCCAUUGCAUGCUGUAAUAUAUUGGCACCUAGUGGAAGGUAGUUGUAAUUGCAAUGUAAAUUUUGAAAAAUUCAAAACAUUUACUCAAAGUUCUGUAUUUGCUAUUUUUAAAAAAUACUAAGUAUUUGUGGUUGAAAAUAGAUUUGGUGGUGGUGCUUGGAGAAGAUGUGAAUUCAAUGCUUUUUUAGCAAUUGGAAUUGUUAUAAUGGUUAGAACCAUUACAAUGGUUUAUUUACCAAUGAUCUGGAAAAGAAAUCGAUUACUUGUCAGGGAAAAUACUGUUCCUAUAUGAAAAUAUACAAAUUAUAAAAUCUUUACCUCAAUUUACCUUUCAGGAAGGGAAAAUGCCACCAAUUGUGUUUCAGUACAGAGAAAGAAAGGUUCAUUAAAUAGGAGAGACAUAAGAAGUAAAAUAAUGUUAUCUUCUUUAUAUGAUAGUAAUAACCAAAUACGAUGACAUGUAUGCAUACAUACUUAAUAUCAGAUCUUCACUCACAGAAUGAGAGUCCAACAACUCAAAUAAAGCUGAAAAGGAGUUGAGAAUCUGUCUUCCCUGCACAUUGAAACUGUUGAACAUUGUUUGAAAACUACCCUUGAUCUAAAAUAGAAAGGACCCUCUGUUAAUGGAAACAGACUGACAUAUUUGUUGUUUUUGUUGUUUUAUUUGUUUUGUUUUGUUUUAUUUUGUAGGAUUUUUUACAGUGAUGGUAAGACGUUCUAAUAGUCAUUGGGCAAACAAACAGGACUUCAGCAUUUGUCAGUGGUGUUGAUAUAAUCAGAAACUUUAUAAAAGUCGUUUGAAGACGUGACAUAAAAGUAUGUGAAAGCUGAAAGCAGGUAAUCUGAAAAUUUGAAAUGAAUAAUUGAGGAUGAUUUGAAAAAAAAAAAAAGAAAAAGAAAAGGAAAAAGAAAAAGAAAAAGAGCAACAAAAGCACCAAAUAGAAAAAUGGUAAAGGAAACAGGGUUUUUCCAAAAGGAGAUAAGGGAAUACAAGACAUUCUGGAAUGCAUGAAGAGUGACUCAGUAGAUUAUUUCAGUGUUUAUCCUCUAUUCAGAAAUGAAAGAGGAUGAAUAGGCAAAAGCCUCAAAGGAUAAUAAAAAGCUGAAUAUUAUUUGUUAGCUUUCAAUUCACUGGCAUACACAUUAGCAGGUGUUACUGAAAAGCUUGGUUUUAAAGAAAUAGCUCAAUAACCAAUGCCUGUAAAACUCUGUGAAGUACAUAUUUAGUGAACAACCUCUAAGGUAACAUGAAAUUUGUUAAUGAUUAGUGAAGACAAUUUUAAGCUAACAAGCCAGCUUGUCUGAGGCUUAUAACAAAAGGAAGAUUGCUGGUAAACAUGUAUAAAAUUACUUCAUUGUUUUGUUUGGAAAUAUAUUUCUUUUUGUUUAAGUGCCUACUGCAAAUUGGAAAAAAAAAAUCUGUAUAAAUUGAAAAUAAAUGAUGGGCCACAUGAAUCCAUGAGUAAUAUUCAAGGUUAAGUGAAUCUGCAUGCUUUUCAUGAAAAACUCAGGUCAGUUUUAAUUAUAGAGCUAUGACUAACGCCACCACAGAGUUUAUGAAUGCGUUUGUACAUCCUAUUUUUAAUGCAGGGUAUACUUUCUUCAAGGCAACAUUUGCUUAACUGUAGUAACAGAACAUGUUGUAUUGUAUGAGUGUGGCACAUGCCAGUCGAUUUUGUACUCCAUCAUUUUAUAUCUUUUGAGUCAGAGAAUCUAAUAGUAAGGCAUGGCAUGUAUAUCUAAUAUGGGUAUUUUCAUUUUUGUGUUUCUAAAAAAAUAAUUUCACAUUUUAAUUAAAUGAUAUGCGGCAGAUUAUUUUUUCCUAUUUGUUUUUAAUUAUCUAAUUAAAAGAUAAUUUCAUAUUAUUUCAGAGCAUGGGUCUGGCUCCUGGGUCUUUUUUUUUUUUUUUUUUUUUUUAAAUAGAAAGUGAAUGGAGGUAAACUUAUUUUAAAUGAUUGAAAUAGAAAUUACUAGCAGUACACACACAGUGUGAUCUUGGAAAUAAUUAGUCUAAUUACUCUUCAAUCUGUGAUCUUAAUUGUACAACUUUGUGAUAAUAAAAAUGAAAAAGGUCUUAAAUAACAACGAGUUUGGAUUUGCACAUUUAGCAAAAUUUGUUUUUCACAAUUACUUUUUGUAUUUAAGUGGAUCAGGAAUGAGGAUUUAUUUCACUUUUCAGAGGAGCAUAUGCACAACUGUAUGAUUUAGGAUAACUUUCAGCUCUUUCAAAACUGGAUGGAAAGAUACUGACUGCAGUGAAAGUGUGUAAUUACAUCUACCUAAUGGCUUUAAACUGGCAGAGGGUAGAUUUAAACUAGAUAUUAGGAAUAAAUUCUUUCCUAGGAGAGUGGUGAGUCACUGGAGCAGGUUGCCCAGUGAAGUUGUGGCUGCCUCCUCCCUGGAAGCAUUCAAGGCCAGGCUGGAUGAAGCUUUGAGCAACCUGGUUUAGAGGGAGGUGUCCCUGCCUAUAGCAGGGGGUUGGAGCUAAAGGUGCCCUCCAACCCAGACCAUUUUAUCAUUCUAUGAUUCUGUGAUGUGUAGAGACAGUGGGAACCUCGGGGGUCUGAGUGGGCUGAGGUGCCCAUGGGGUGGGGAUGUAGCAUUGGCCUCCCAUGCAGGGCUGGUGAGAUCACUUCUAGUACUCAAAUCCAGGCACCAAGACUCAGUACCUUGGGAUGGUGAAGAGGUUGUUUCCACUUUUCUCCAAAUUUUUGUGCAGUUCUACAUUUAUCACGUUCUUUUCCUGAAUUCUUUUUAAUUAUCGCAGCUGCUCCACUUUUUGAAUCCAUGAUGUCUGUGAAGUCAAAAAUAAAAAGUGCGAAAUAAAAGGUUUGCUUAUUCUAGAAUAUAUUCAAAGUGAUGAAAGGUUCUUGUUUUUCUCUCACAGAUGCUUAUUACCAAAAUUGGCUCCUGCCUUAGAGAACCAUGUCAUUUCAAUAGUUUCAGUCUUUAGAACUAAGGAAAAACAGAUAUUUUCUUCUCUGCAGGAGCACUGGAGCUCAACUGCAUCCUCCAAAACUGUAAAUGACAGCAGAUGAUAGUUGUCACAGGAGCAUAAGUUUAAAAGCCAUGUCCUUAAACGAUCUUUAGUCCAUGGGGAGAAACAUUUGUCAGAUGAGGAGAACGUUAUAAAUUUUAGGAUGUUCCUCAUGAAUAUCUGACAUAUGGAACGGAACUUCUUGUUUUAUCAAAGCAUUGCAAUGUGAAUUGUUUAAAACUUGUCCUGUCUAUACAACAGUGAGGUGCUUUUAGGUCCUGAAUGAGACAGAAAGCAUAGGUGUGCCCCCUCUGAACCAUUCAAACCAUAUUAAAAUUUCCAGUUCUGUCUAGACUGCAACUUUUUAAGUUCCUGUAUUCCCUAGUUAUAAUGUAGGGAUUGAGCCAAUGAGAUUUGGGUUUGGAGAGCGUUAGCAGCACAGGUUGAUCAAACUGAAGAAGGUAAGCCUGGAGAUGUCCUGUUCAUGGACUGCUUUCAGUCUUGUGUAUUGGCUCUGUAAAACUGCCAUGGGCAGUACUAUUUAGCUAUCUUUUUGGAGCAGUGGAAAAUACCAACCCAUGUUCUAUCAUAGCUCUUUUACUCGACUGAGCUUUCACUACAUUUUCUGGAUUACGAGGUAAGCACUACCGCUGCUGCACACUGUUGAGAACGAUAAGGAAAAAGGUUUUCACAUUAAUUUCAGCAAUGUUGAUCAUUUAUGGUGUUAAUUGGCACCAGGUAGUCCUAUUUUUGUACUAAUUCUAUCUCAGUUAAAAGAAAGGGCACUUUAAAAGCUGAAUUUAGGGAGGUUAUAAAGCUAUGCUGGCAGCAGAACCAUUUCAGGAACUGUAACUACCAUUUGGGAAUAUGCUUUUAUACUUCCCUGUAGCAAAUGUGUUGAUUGUUCUUGGAGCCUUCAUGGGAAAACAGACGUCAAGUGAUUUAGCUCAAGUCUGCAAAAAAGUUACUUUUUACUUUUUUUGUUGUUGUUUUUAGUACCAUAAAAGUAGACUUUAACCGAAGGUGUUUCAGAAGUUCUAGCCAGCAUUUCCCUGACCUUGCUACAGGUGCUUUUCUUCCUUGGGUGCCUGCCAGAAUCCAGCAGCAGUAAUUUUGCAGCACAUGCCCUGCUAGAACCUUGCACCAAUCUGAGGAAUGUGCAAGUUCACGGUGUUACUUGGCCAUGCAAUCGUACAUCAGCUGCGUUACCAGGAUGAUGAUUCACUGCCUGGGCAAAGGGGUUUUUUUUGCAGAGCUGUCACCUGCCUGGGUUGCUGCCACUGGGAGCUGUAUUGUGGCAACAUCAGCCCCAUAAAGUGCCGGGGGAUUGCUGCAGGGAGAGGGCUGGCAAACUGUAAUUUCCUGAGUGGAGAUGAGUUUGUUAUGGUGAUAAAUCUUUUUCUCAUAACUGCUGCCCACCAUCAGUGAUUUUGAGAAAUUUCUGUUGAUCCCUCAAGUCUCACUGGAAAAAAAAAAAAAAAAAAAACAGACUUAACAGGAUGGGAAAGAUAACCUGGCAAAGCUUCUGGCACGUCUGUGUCCAUGAUUCAGUUUUUCAUAAAUGGAUAAUUAUUUAAGUCUGUUGGGUUUGGUUGUUUUGUUUGUUUGUUUGGGGUGAGGGAGGGGUUGUUUUUUGGGAUGUUGUUUUUUGUUUCCUUUGAAAGCAAUGCCAGUGUUUUGUGAGCAAAGUGUUAACUUGCCUUUGUUUCUGCUGACACUCAGUAAUUUGCGUUAGGUUUAUUAUUAUUGGCAUCCCUAGAGACUUUUAUGGUACUGUGGAGAAGAAAGGACUACAAAGGAACACACGGCCAAAGAUAGCUGAAGAUGUGUGCACGUGAUAUGUGAUAAAUUUGUCAGCAAUUAAUUUCUUAAUAAGAGGCACAAUAAAUAGAGGGAUCCCCUUAAGAUGUGCUACUGGAAAUCCCAUAAGUAUUUUAAUUUCUUGAAUGCUCUUCUCGGAAAAGAAUUAAAAUUAAAAUGCAUAUAAUCUUUCUGCCAAUAAUUUGGGCUGAAAAGCAACUUUUAGUAUUUUUCUUCCAUUCACCCCCACCCUUGAAGCAUUUUGGCAGCAAUACCAGUAGGAUGGUCACUCCUCUGAUAUCUGAUGCUUUGCACUGCAUGUUGGGGGUUACGGUGCCUUAGCAGCAGAGCUGGAGCCGGGUGCAUCUCCUGGCUUAGGGAGCAAUUCUUGUCACUCACAUGGUCCCCGUGAUUAAGUGCUUCUUGGUCCUUUUAGGAAACCAUUUGCUGUCCUGCAGUGUUCUCUCAUUCACACACACUUCCGUGCCUCUCCAUUUAAUUGGUCUCUUCCUCCACUCAGCCUGCUGUGUGCUGUAAUGUGGAAGAGCAGACCGAACCCUGCAGUGAUUUAUGAGUGCUUCAUAGAUGGAGGCCAAGGCUGCUGCAGGCUCUGGUAACUUUAGUAACAUAAUACUAAGGGAACAUUACCAAAUUUUCCAGCUCCCAAAUUGAUCUCAAUUAGAAAGCAUGUUACGACGGGUGCUGUCCUCAGUCUCUUUAGCACUAACAGGGUUAAAUAGCAAAGUGAAAGGACGUGCUUUUCAUUUUCUACCAUGGAGGCACAACUGGUAACUGUGAUGACUGUAUAUCUUGGUAGGUGAAAAAUGACCAACCCGAGAUGAGCAAACACUGGCAGAAAGCAUAGAAGCAGACACAUAAUUCACAGGCCAGACAGCAGGAGAUAAGGCACUGCAUAUGAAUUGAGACGAUGUGGGUGUGAGAGCAGCGCUGAAAGAGGGGAUUUAACUGCUACACUGAAGGUGCAAUUAGACAAACAGCUCUUCUGGCUGUAUCUAAUCCAUAGAUACCACCCAAUAGCAGAAAUUGGUUGAAAAAUAAAAAAACAAACAAACAAAAAAAAAACACACACACAAAAAACAAUGCAGAAAUAGCAAGCUUGCUUCCAGACAAAAUAAAUAACAAUCAUCAGUUAAAAAUACCUAAAGAUAACAUCUGCCUUUUAAGUAAGCAGUCUAGUUCUUGUUUCUUUCUGAGAAUGUGUAUUUGGGUUCACAUUUACAGACAUUUUCUUUUGCUUUCAAUAGACUUUUCAGCAUUUUCUUUCCAAAACAUGGAUACUGGGUAACUAUUGCCUAGCAAUGUCAGCUGCCUCAGUGUACCUUAGGUUGGGUUAAAAUAGUCCUUCUUCCUUUAGUUGUAUUCCAUUAAUAUCCUUAAUAUCCAUUAAUAUCCAGUGAGGGUUUCCUCCAGAGCUGGGUGAGGAGAAAGGGGCUGGGAGCAAAGCUGGGAGGCAUUUGUUGGAACACGAAGCAGCUUCAAAAUGUAAAGCUGAAGCAAACUUUGUUUUCGCACCAGGCUCUAAUUGCAGCCCUUUGGGUUGAUCUCUCUGGCUCUGCGGUGAUUCCCUGGGUCAGCCUGUAAAGGCUGAUGGAGAGCUCAUCUCUCCUGAGAAGCACCCUGUGCAAUGCAGGGUCAGCAUCUGAAGCUGUAGAGAGCUCCUGUGUAUCUGAGGACACAGACUUGGGGAGGCUCCUAUUCCCUUGUUUAUGUAUUUUGCUUUUUAAAGGAGAUUUAUAUUUCCUGUGUAAAAAUUCUUGUUCUCCCAAAGUCACAAACCUACAAGCAAAAAAUGUUUUAUUCCCAUGGCUCAGGCGUGCUCUGAGAAUGAUUUAUGAGUAAGACACAUACACAUGGUUCAUACUUCAGCUUGCCAAGCUGUGGGCCACUUAGGCGAGCUUUGUGGAAGCAGCUGAUUGCACUUUAGGGCUGUAAGGCUAGUCUGGGUUUCCUGCAUAUCUGUUUAAUUUAGCUGCCCUUAAUGAUCCUGUACAUAUGUCCUGGUGCAGUAAUACUGUAUUACAAGCCAUCUAGCUUUUAUGCUGAAGAAGCAUGCAAUCACUGUGACUGUUGAAAUAAACCACUGUAAAACCUGGCAGGAGUUUUUCAUACUGUAUUUCAAAAGAAAUUGAACUCCUUCAGCAAAGGCUUCUCUGUAAUCUUGAAAAAGUUAGGGGGAUCCUAUGGGAAUAUUGUGUUCCACGGGCUUUCUUUGAGCAUUUAAGUAGCCCUAUAGGCCAGUGCAUACUCAGAUAUAAUUUUCUGGCAUUCUUGUUUUAUUUUUUAUUUUUUUAUUAUAAUAAUACUUUCCAGCUGGAUACACUUAGAUUGUCUGGUUCUAAUUUACCCAAAUGACAAACAAACGCAUUCUUAAGUGACUAGCUCUCCAUUCAGAAGUCUCAUAGCUUAGCUUUCCAAACUAUGCAUCUGAACUAUUUGAUUUUUUUUUUUUUUGUAGCACGACUAACAUUAGAUUUUACCAAUUAUUUGUGAAACAGACAGCAGUGACUGUAUAAAACAUGAUUUUCAUGUACAAACAUAGCAUUCUCAGUCAGAAUCUGCUAUUCUGGCAUUUAACUACAAUGCAAAUAGGGACUUCAGCAUUUCCUGCAUAGGAAAAUGUACAGAUAAAAUGCUGGUUGAAUCGUAGAACCACAGAAUCGUUUGAGUUGGAAGGGACCCUUAAAGGUCAUCUGGUCCAAAUCCUCUGCAGCGAACAGCGACACCCACAGCCAGACCAGGUAGCUCAGAGCCCUGUCCAGCCUGACAAUGAAUGCCUCUAAGGGUGUGACAUCUACCACCUCCCUGGGCAACCUGUUCCUGUGUCUCACCAUCCUCACUAUAAAAAACUUCUUCCUUAUACCCAAUCUAAAUCUGCCUCUUUUUCAUUUGAAACCUUUUCCCCUUGUCCCGUCACAACAGACCCUGCUAAAGAGUCUGCCCCCUUCUUUCUUACGGCCACCCUUUAGAUACUGAAAGGCCACUAUCAGUCUACUCUGCCUGAGCCCUCUGAGCUCUACUGUGUCCUAUUGUGCUCCUGCAUGUCACAGAUGGGAGGAAAAGCAUGAACAUAACAAUAAAUUCCAGAGCAGUGUGCAUUCAUUCACCUGAAUGAGAUGAUUUCAACACAAUUUUGCAAUGUAUAUAUAUAGCAUGUUUUGUAUCUUCCAGUCACAGUGCUUUUCUUUGUGCUAUUGAGAUACCCAUGUCUUCAGAUGCAGUAAAAGCAGCUUAGUCCCUCCAUAGCUCUGUACGUACUCUUGCCAUGAAUUCUGUUUAUGGAAGAGUUCAUUACUCUUCCUGGAGUCGACAGAGCAGGGAAUUCACUGUGUAAGCAGCUAACAUGAUGCCUAGAGGUAUGAACCAGAGCAUCCCCCAGCUCCCAACCUGCUUGCUAGAGCCCUGCAAAUCAGCAGGGCCCUGCUGCAAGGUUUCAACCUUUCAGAUUUCAUUGCCAUUCAAUGUACCACUUAAGUGCAUUUUAGACCCUGCGUUUUAAACCAGCUCUAAGUACAAUCUAGGGAUCUAUGUAACUGCACUUAAAUUUAAAUUCCAUUAUGUGACUGAAUAAUUUAUAAGUGUGUACAGGAAAGGUUAAUUGAUGAUAACCUUAAUUCUUGGGAUGUCAGAAGUAUUUUAGCAUUUUCUGAUUGAUUGUGUCUUGAAAUGUCUUAAAUUUUCUUUGCCAAGUUUGCUUUGAGUUACAUAGAAAAAGCAUCAUUGAGUUUCACCUCUCUCACUUUUAGGAAAACAGUUCUGUCAUUUUUGUACGUGCUUUAUAAAAUGUUACGAGUAUGAGCAUCUCUGCUUUGUAGAGGGAGGGCAUAGAGCAGAGAAAAAUCAAGUAACUUUAAAAAUAGUGUAUAAGAAGUCAUUAAAAAGCAAGACUGAAUGUUUUUGAAGAUUUUGUCAGCCAGGGACCUGUAUGGGAGAGGAGGAGAAUUUUUACAGCUGUGGUUACGGCUAGAAGACUACAACCACAAUGGGGAAGAUAGGACUAGACGGGAGAUGGUUUAGUAGGCAUGGUUGUUAUGGGUUGAUGGUUAUCUUUUCCAGCCUUAAUGAUUCUAAGAUUCUAUGAUUCUAUGCCUUUCUCCAGUCCCUACUGCCACAGCCUUGAAUAAUUAUGUAUAAAUGUUCAUUUGUUUUAAAUUAGUUGUAAAAGUACAUUCCAUAAUGCCCUAUCUCAAUAUCAUUACAAUGCUCAGAUCUUACUGAGACUUUGAACAAGCUCACAGGAGAACAUUUAUAAACUAUGAUGCUUUCAACAGUUUUGCUUUUAUGGCUGCUUUUAGCCACUUUAUGCAGUCACAGCAAAUAUGGAAUAGCAGCUAAGACAUCAGAGUUGGUUACCUUUUCAUCUCUUUUUAACAUAUCUUUCUUGUAAAACUGAGUCUUCCGAAUGAUAAUGUCAAAAAUUGUAUUUGAUGGCUUGUGUGUAAGGAGAUUAUGUACCAAGAGCAAUAGCAUCUGAAUAGGGUUUCCUUGCUUUUCAAUAUUUCAGACACUCAUUUUCUGGUCUUCAUGGUUGGUUGGUGCUACAGGAAAUGCUCACAUUAUGCUAAAGAAAUGAAUGAGACCAGGCAGGGCACAGAAUCAAGUUCUAACAGCUUCAUGAUAUGCAAAAAGACAAAGACUGCUUUCAUCAAAUCUCACCACGCAAGUAUACACUAUUUAAGCUGAAGUUUGAUAGACCCAGCCUGAGGUGCCCAAAAUGGCAGACUUAAGCUCUUACAGUCAUUCUUAAAAAAAAUCAGUUCUGCAUCUAAUCAUGUGUAAGCAUUUGAUUUUCCUUCCCAUUCCAUUUGUCAUUCUCUUUGAUAAUGAGCACUUGUUUAAUGAUGAUUUUAGGGUUCUGCACAGACUUUGCCUCUUCUUACUGUCCCAACUAUACAGUCACUUUGGUUGCUAUAAUUACAUUACACCUUACAAGUGCUGUUGGGGACCAUCUUAUAUAUAACAUGAAAACUGUAAGAACUGUCCAGCAUAUACUCACAAUAUACCUACAUGAGUGUCAAUGUGUCCACUAAAGACUUAAAUGAAACGGUAGAUACAAUAAGUUGUAAUAUCCAUGUAUAAGUGCUUAUUCUAUGUCAGCUAAAUUCUUUGCCAGGAGCAAUAGCCUCAUUUCAGAGAUUUUUAAGACUGAGAUACGAUAAUUGAUCUAACAAAAAGCGUCUUUCAGCAGAGCUAAAGGUACAAAUAGAUGUUAUGAAGGCUUGAAGGCUCUUUAACAAUAGUUGCUAAUCUAAACACUGAGUGUUAAAUUAAUCCGUGAUACAAUGUUGAGUCAUUAAAGUCAUCAGUUAACAAUCAGCCUUGUUUAACUGAAAACAGAGUUCUAGUUUGUAUUGAAAGAAAACUAAUGGGAGAAGAAAGACAAUUUACACAUUGGCAAAAUGUUUUUGGAAGAUAUUUUAAUAAUAAAAUAAAAAACAACUUGAUCUGAAUGGUCUAUAAUAUGUGACAACUAGAGAUGCUGAGAUAAAAAUAAAUUUAGACUGCUUACAUUCAGAAAUGUGGGCAAUUGAAACAUGUAGUUUACUUAAGACAUUACCAACCAAGAUCUCGUAACACUGAGUUAAGGAGAAUUAAAGUACAACUAACUUUAGCUAACCCAGCCCAAAAGAACUGUGUGAAACAGACAGAAGUAAAUCAUACCUGUGAAGGUGUUUGGCUUCUGCAUUGACUAGAUAAUGAGCUUUAACUGCAGGGCUAAUUUCCUAAUUUCUGUAAUUAGUAACAGCAGUGGUAGUUACAUAUAGUUAGAGGUAAUUAACUUUGUUGAGAAAAAUCCCUCUACACUCUUCCCACUGUGCUACCCGCUGUAGGGAACCUGCUUUAGCAGGGGGUUUGGCCUAGAUGAUCUCCAGAGGUCCGUUCCAACCCUAAAAUUCUGUGAUUUUGUGAUUUUUAAAUAGAUUUAGACCUAUGUGGUUACAGAUAAGUGACUCCAGAUGCAAAUAGGAAGUGUACUUUUGUGUGGAACAAGUUAUACAUUUACAUUUCUUUCUGCAUGUGGAAUAUACUGGCUACAUGUGAGCAGAAAGGUUUUGCUUCUAUAGGGAUGGGUAAGAAUUCAAGUCAUGAUGUGUAACUGAUACUGCACUGAAACAAAUAUCAAGUAAUACUCUUCACUGUCCUCAGCUCUUCUUCCUGAACAGUUGGCUUGAUUCAGCCCACUUAAUUAAACACUUCCUUGGAAAACAAGAUAAGCAUCUCAAUUGUAAUUCCAUCAUGAAAUUAUGGUCUUCAGAUUAGGAAAUCUAAACAUUCCCAAAUAAAAGACAACAAAAAAUGAACUUUUGUUGAUUUAAAAUUAAGAGGAAACUUCAUGUGGUGGAAUAAACAAAAGCUAACAAGCUAAUUACAAACUGAAAUAUAUUUUUGACAGUAUGAAAAUUGCAAACAAUCAGUUCCAAAUGUUAGAAAUACAACUAAUGGUUGGAAUAGCAACAAUCAAGUUUUACUCAAUAUGCUAAGCUUAAUUUCCUGUCCUGUAAAUCACAGAUGAAUCUCAUAAACAAGAGAGCUGCUAGAGAUGUGAUUAAUCAGUUUUUAUAAAUAUGGUGGUUCUGGCUGACCAAUUUUAGACGAUGAAUAUGGAAAAUGUGGGGAAUCAAAAAACAAAAGCUUUCUCAAUAUGAAUGAUGAGUGGGAAUAUUUUUUCUUCCCAGGUUGGAUAAAAUAGCCUUAUGGAUGCUGCUGCACAGGAGCUACAUUGCAGUCAUGUCUUGCAAUGCUCGUGUGGCCAUUGUCAGGAUUUCUCAUGCCCCAUCUGCAAAUCCCUGGUGCUGCUGCUUCAGCUGUGCACCAUCCUAUCAGAGCUUCUGAAGCAACAGGGCUGCUUUAUCCACAGAGUUUCUGCAUUACAGUGGACGGAGCAGUCCUUUGGCCACCCACAGUCAUCCUUCUGCUCUGACCUCACAAACCACAAUUGCUCCAUGCAGUGAUUCCAAGGAGAACAGCUGGUGGUUUUACCUGAACCAAGCAGUAGUACUCAUGGCAUUUAGAGAGAUUGCCUUUGCAAAGCCAUUAUGGGAAUAAUGUCACUGCAGUGACAGUGGAAACAUCACCUGAAAAAUUAUCUUAUAAAGUGUUAAAUCUGCUUGUGUUUAUGAAAUGUCACAUGGCAACAAUUAAACUUUUUUUAGAAGUGUGAAUCACCAGUAUGGAAUUGGUACUGGUGAGUCUGAGAGAAAUGGUUUGUUGAUGUGAAUCUUAUUUUCAAACAGUAAAGCAUGCUACUUAAAAAGUAUUUCCCCUGGAGUACUGAAGAAAUCUGCACUUUUUCUUUGGAAUAAAGAUUUUUGUUGUUGUUGUUGUUUUAUUUUGUUUUGUUUUUUGAAUGGCUGAUUGUUAAUGUAUGCUAUAAGUACAGUGGUUUAAAAUUAUGAUUAAAUUGAUUCUUUUACCCGGGUUUACUUUAGCACUUCUGAAAAAUCAUAUUUAUGUGUCUUUGAUAAAGUGGGCUUUUUUCUUUCAUUUUGUUUUUUUUUGUUUGCUUGUUUGUUUUUAAUAUAUAUAUUUUUUCUCAGCUGAGUUGUAAGAGGAAAUGCAUCACCAAGCCUUACCAUGCUGAAGAACAAAGUACCAUAAUUUGAGACACAGGCACUUACAGUCUUAGCAACCCAUAUACAAGUGAUGUUGUUCUCCACACACUCCUAAAAGGUUUUUCAACACAACAUGAUGUCACUGAAUCAGUGAGUGGCCCUAGCUCUUCUGCCAGCUCUGCUUCAAGAAUGACGAUUUGAACUGAAGACAUUGCAAUGCCAGUGUUUUGCUUAAAAACAAAUAAGUAUUGCAAGAAAACAAAGCUGAAAGCCAGCCAAACAAAAAAAGCUCCAUAAAUAUUGGUGUCUCUUAGUAUCAGGGAAGACUGAAUUUAAUGCAAGCCAUUAAUUAAAGAUUCCAAUCACUUUGGAGCAUUUUAAAAGCUGUUAUUUCAUCAGCUGUUUUCAAAACCUGAUCCUGAUCAAUCACCGUAUAAAUUCUAGUCCAAACCAUCUUCAGCAAAAUGCCAUUAAACCAUUUUAAUCUGUUAAAUAUUAUUUUUAAAUUAUUAAAUAUUACAAAUAAUCACACUCUCGCUAUCACAGACCGCUAUGUAAACCAAACCCAAGUAAACUCAGGGACUGGAGGACAACCAUCUGCUUUCUGGUGCCCAGGAGUCUGACUGGGCCCAUGUAUUUUACAGAAUACUAGACUAACAGGACUUCCCUACUUCAAAUAUACUUUAAAGUAUAGUCAAAAUACAAUUCUGAAGAUAUGAUUGUAUAUUAUGAAGGUUACGGAGCAGAUUGUCUUGAGUGCAAUCACACAGCAUGAGUGAGACAACCAGGGGAUCAGGCCUAGCCAAAGAAAGGCAGGUCCUGCUUGACCAAUCUCAUCUCCUUCUAUGACCAGGUGACCCGCCUGGUGGAUGAGGGAAAGGCUGUUGAUAUGGUCCACCUAGGCUUCAGCAAAGCCUUUGACACUGUCUCCCACAGUAUUCUCCUGGGGAAGCUGGCAGCCCAUCUUCAUAAAAUCCUUGUUUGUAUACAGCAGGCCUCUUAAAUACUAUCUGCACCUGAAACUGUGUUCCAAUCUAACCCAGAAAUCACAAGAGUUUGAGUAAUGACUCUGUGUUUAUUCUUUGAUUGUCUUCUUUACAGUGGUGUCAACGGGGAAAAAGACAACAAUAUUCUGAAGGCUUUUUAAUUUAACAUAGGUUAAAUUAAUUUACUGUCUAAUUUCAACCUAUAGUACUUGUUGGAAGAAAUAUUAACGUGGGCUUUUUAUCUGUUCUCAGUGUGGUCUUUGUCAGGAGUAUGAGAUGUCGGAAACAAGUUAAUUAAAGAAUCUUUAAAAAUAUAUUUCCUUCUGAAACAGAGCUGAGAAGCCUGACACAUUAAAUAGCAUUUCUUUUAUUCUAAAUUAGCCCCCUGGUUAUGCCUGAUACCAUAUUCUGAGUUUUGAAGCUCUGACUCUGGAAAAGUGCUCAGCACUUCACUAGAAUAGCAUGAUAAAAACAGUUUAUGGACCUAUUUUACCAAAUGACUUUUUGCAAGAAGUCCUCCAUAUACAAAUUAAAAAACAUGAGAGAUUAUUUCAUGCUGAACAUCUUAAAAAGGGAAUUUUGUAUCCACCAUGUUCUAAUUGCUUGCUCCAUAAUUUAUUGUAUAAAAAUUUAGAACUUUACAGCUCUGAGAAAUCUCUUCAGCAGAGCGAUACCUUUUCCUCCCACUUUUAGGACAUUGUUGUGAUCUAAAAAUUGCUUCUAAUUAGCUCUGAAGAUUGGUAUGCCACGCAUAGUGAAAAUAUGGACUCAAUUUUUUUACUGAUAUUCUUUUUUUUCCCCCAAACCAGCAGAAAUAUACUGUUGUAUUCACAAAAGUGCCUGAAAUACUACAUGCAAGUAUCAUAAACUCAACUUCUGAAUUUACUCAUACAUGUCUUCCAUUUGUAUUGUACACAGAAACAAUAAUUUGACAAACUAUGUUUUCUUUACAUAGUGAGCUACUGCUGCUUUGGAAUAAUAAUUCAUUCAGAUUUCUCUGAUUAUCCUCCCAAGUUCACAAAUAUAUAUUUGUCCUUAGUGCUGUUUUUAGGUACCUCAUAUUUGGGUUAAUGUGUGUUGGCAAUAAACAAGAAUUUGACUCCUUCUGGAGACACAGAUCAGGUUUUGCAGUGUUCAUUUUGCUGUGACUUUCCCUUUUUAAGCAUAUGGAAGAACAACGAAUGUAGGUCUGCAAAUGCUCUUUUUAAUCAAAUGGGUUAUUGGUGGCUUCAGGUAACAACAGCAUUCGUCUAUUUUCAAUUGCAGAUAGUUGUAAAUAUGCAGCUGCUCAUGUGGGUAUAACAACAGUGAAAACAAGUGACAAAGAUGACAUCCUUUGGAAAUCUCAGCAUUGUAAUUUUUGUUGGAUAUAUCCUCUUGUACCAAUAAAAAAGUGCUCUUAAAACUCCUAAAACUUUCAUUUUAAGAGUUUGAAAAACAUAGGUUUCUGAUAUUAUUGGUCUCACGUAUAGUCCCCUCUGUCACAUGCUUUGAAAUACUGAUGAAUAGCAAUUGCAGAGUGACUGUUUCAGAAAAUGAACACUCACUGAAUCCAAUUUCCCAGAAUGGCCAUAUGCAAAAGCCUCUCUUACUUGCACAAACAGAUUUGAUGGCUAUGUGCACAAAUUGUACCAUAAAGUGUCCACAGAGGCAAGGUUCCUAUUAGUCAUGAGUACUAUGGACAUGGCAUUCAUGCCAUAUACAUUUUAGGGGAAGCUUGCUUUCUUGAUUCACAGUCAGCAGGCUGAAUGUUUUACUGUAGCAUUCUCUGAGAGCACAUCUGGUUUGGUUUCAUCUGAAGCUAUCUGCACAUGGUUGCAUCUGAAAAGAGGCUGUCUGCACUUAGUCCUGGCCCCUCUGCUGGAGCAUGGAUUGGGUCUGAUGGUCUCAAAGGGGCCCUGCCAGCCUCAGCCCUUCUGUGAUUGUGUGAAUUCAGGUGGAGCACUCAAAUCCUGCUGCCGGUGUGAAUCUAACUGGUAAGUGCAGAUGAUCAGAAGAUUCUUCUUAGCCAUACCCUCCUGGACUGAAAUAAAACAUUAAUCCAGGUUCAUCGAGCAUCCAAUUGUCCUCGUCAGCAUGCUUGUACCAAAUUCAGGAACAUGAUUAUUUACAGAAGAAAUACUGCAAUGUCUUUUCCCUUUUCUUUGCCAUCUGUGAUGUAUUUUUAAAAAAUAUUCUAUAUCCUCUUUCCUAAAACAAAAGAGAAGCAUCCUAAGGGACGUAGAGUACCAGCGUGAUCAGGCCUCUCUCUGCCAAGUUUCUGAAUGAGUGCUUUGAAAAAUAACACUCCUUUCCCUGAAACAAUGGAUAUAAUUCUGAGGAAAAUUGUGUAAUCCAUCAAUUCUGCAUAGGUUUAUGGACUGAAAGGAAGGUUAGAGAGAGGGAGCAAACAGAAGAGGAGGACUCUGUGCUGGCAGUAAACACUAUUAAAUCCCUGUAGUUCCUGCAGUUUCAAAUUUGCAAAGUGUAUGAUAUGUCAUUUAGUAACAUAUGCUUUGUCUGAGUGCUCUCAGGGAGCAAUAGCCCGGCCUUGAAAAAUAUGGUGGUGGUUCUGCUUUGAAAUAUGAACAAGAAAAGCAGCAUUCCUGCUCUCUGUACAAGGCUGAACCAGAUGGGGAACUCUAACCAUUGUCAAAUCAUGAAGAACCCCAAAGGAUUUUUGUCUGGUAGGUUUUACAAAAUUCCUAAAAGAAACAUUGCGUUUGGAAGCAAAAAGAAGAGUACUCUAUACUUGUAGAUGUUUUUGUUCGUAUAUUUUAGAACAGAAGAAUACAGUGCAAAUUAAUCUUACAUUUUUAUGCAUGAUUUAUAUGAAGUAAGAAAAUCUUCGCUUUUUUAUGCAUUCAGGCUUAAGGAGAUAAUAUUGUAAUCCGUGAAAGCAUGGGUUGUUUUUCCUCCUUUCACCUGAAAGAAUAAAAAAUAAUUUUUGUAGAACAGUUCUUAAAUUUAAAGAAAAAAAAUGAAGCAGGCUACACUUCUAGUCACAUUUAAUGAAAUGCCAAUCAAGAAAGAAUUCAGGCUUUGUUCUAGUGAGUAUAUGCUUCAGUCUUACUCUGAAUGCAGGUGAGAAAAUAGUGAUGUCCUGAACUGCUAUGUACCAUUGUAUGUGCUUUUUAAUGAUAAUAGACCUAUCCAGUGACAGAGUAUUUGUCAUAGCACUGAAUAUUGUGUGGGCAGUUCUUAAUAAUAAAAUGUAACCAUAGUAUUAACAAUACAGAACAUUUUAAGUUCCCUGGUAUAUUUUUGAGUCCAUGCAACCUAUCUAUUGCAUGCUGAGUUAUUAUUAUUUAUUCUUAUCUUUAGAACUUCUUGGCAGUAGGUGAAAAUGCAGCUGAUAAAUGUCCUGAAAAUGAAAGUUCUUUUGAAGACAAUGGCCUUGCUCAUGAGCUAUCCUUUUGAGUGUUCACCUUUACAAAGAGCAAGCAGUGUCCAAGGGAAUUGCUGAGUUUCUCAUCUUUUCGAUGGUUGGUCCCAGUGGCAGAAAUAAAAGUUUUAAAAACAUCCUAAUGUUGAAACAGAAAACCAAGGGAAAAACAAUGUUUUGGCCCAUCACCAACCUGCUGAAAAUCUGCUGUCUCCUUCUGGCAUGCCUCCAGCCUCCUCUCUAUGAUGCCUGUCUUCCUCUUUCAAAAAAAGGAGAACUGUACUUGCGUACAUUAUUCAAAACAACAUUGUAUUCUAGAAUAUUUCCAUGUAUGCUGAUUUCUGUUCCAUUUUUUCUCUGAAAAAGAAAUACAUACACACAUAUAUAUACAUAUAUGUAUUUAUAAUGAAAGAAGGAAGCAAGAUAAUCUCAGAAAUAAUUUGCUUUUCAGAUGUUGAAAGUCAAAAUAUACUUUUAAAUUACAAAAAUAGAUUGUGUCUGUUUAGAAAUGUCUACAUAAGUCAUUAGUUCAGUUUCACCUAUAAAGUGUUAUUAACUAACUGUUUAGUUAUCACAUGUACCCACUUAAAACACAUUUCAGGGUUUUACUUCAGCGGGAUUAAUUUAGUCCAUGAACUGACACAUUAUUAGCAACUGGAGUGAAUUAGGCAUCAGCAGUACAUUCUUUUAAUUAAUUUUCUCCCAGAAUGAAUCCAGAUUUUGCAUUCAAAGACUGAUCUGUGUGAUAAAAAAAAAUUGCUAAAAAAUGCAAAGAUUAGAGAUUGAAAUGCUUAUGUACACACAUCCAUAGAAUACUUUCAAUUCUCAUUGUUAUCUAGUGAACCAGUCUGUUUGCCUAUCAUUUUAUGCUCAAG